UGUGCCAGCAGCCGCGGUAAUACGUAAGGUGCGAGCGUUGUCCGGAAUUACUGGGCGUAAAGGGCUCGUAGGUGGUUUGUCGCGUCGUCUGUGAAAUUCCGGGGCUUAACUCCGGGCGUGCAGGCGAUACGGGCAUAACUUGAGUACUGUAGGGGUAACUGGAAUUCCUGGUGUAGCGGUGAAAUGCGCAGAUAUCAGGAGGAACACCGAUGGCGAAGGCAGGUUACUGGGCAGUUACUGACGCUGAGGAGCGAAAGCAUGGGUAGCGAACA
rnacentral:rRNA from 1 species